rnacentral:rRNA from 1 species
UACGUAGGGUGCGAGCGUUGUCCGGAAUUAUUGGGCGUAAAGAGCUCGUAGGCGGUGUGUCACGUCGGCCGUGAAAACCUGCAGCUUAACUGUGGGCGUGCGGUCGAUACGGGCAUCACUGGAGUUCGGCAGGGGAGACUGGAAUUCCUGGUGUAGCGGUGAAAUGCGCAGAUAUCAGGAGGAACACCGGUGGCGAAGGCGGGUCUCUGGGCCGAUACUGACGAUCAGGUGCGAAAGCGUGGGGAGCAAACAGG